GAUGAACGCUGGCGGCGUGCCUAAUACAUGCAAGUCGAGCGAACGGACCAGAUGCUUGCUUCUCUGAUGUUAGCGGCGGACGGGUGAGUAACACGUGGAUAACCUACCUAUAAGACUGGGAUAACUUCGGGAAACCGGAGCUAAUACCGGAUAAUAUUUUGAACCGCAUGGUUCAAGAGUGAAAGACGCUCUUGCUGUCACUUAUAGAUGGAUCCGCGCUGCAUUAGCUAGUUGGUAAGGUAACGGCUUACCAAGGCAACGAUGCAUACCCGACCUGAGAGGGUGAUCGGCCACACUGGAACUGAGAAACGGUCCAGACUCCGACGGGAGGCAGCGGUAGGGAAUCUUCCGCAAAGGGCGAAAGCCUGACGGAGCAACGCCGCGUGAGGGAUGAAGGUCUUCGGAUCGGAAAACUCUGUUAUUAGGGAAGAACAUAUGUGUAAGUAACUGUGCACAUCUUGACGGUACCUAAACAGAAAGCCACGGCUAACUACGUG
rnacentral:rRNA from 1 species